UGAGCAGAGAAGAGGCCCUGGAGCCUAUGUGCAAGUCUGAGCUCUGCCACUUCCUGGGCUCUGUGAUCCUGGGGGUGCUUCUGAAGCUCUCUGUGCCUCAUGUCCCUCACCCAGAGAAAGGACAUAGGCACCUUGCACUUCACAGUGGGAUGAGUCAUGAAAAUGGCCGUUGCUCAUGGGGCUCUUCUGGUCAGUCUGCUCCCUCCUGAAGGGGCAACGAAUGAACGAAUGCACUCUGCUGUUGCCAUCACUGUAGGGUCUGCUUUGCUGAGGAAUGGAUCUGGGGAACUCUGAUGCAUCACAAGGGAGCCUAAACGGUGAUCGGCUGUGCCAGGCUCCCCAGGGGAAGCUAACACCAGAGAGGCAACGCAAUACGGGAACCCGACAUCACUGCAGCCAACAUGCUUGACACUGAGCUGCUUUGCUGAGGUCUGAAACAAGGGGAGCCUGAUUCCGCCUCUCCUCUGUCUCCCAUCUCACCACGACAUGCGAGACACUGCUAACCACCACUCCCAGAGGAUCUCCUAUCCUUCUGAUCUUAGUGUAACCAAAAGGAUGGGAGCAACUUCCACACAGCAUGAAGAAGGCAUUUUUACCCACUAACCUCCCAGAUGGAAAUGACUCAGAUGGUCAUUCUGAAUGGAUAAAGAAAAUGUGGUACAGCUACACAAUGGAAUUCUAUUCAGCUAUUAAAAACAAAGACAUCGUGAAUUUUGCAGGCAAAUGGAUGGACCUUGAAAAUAUCAUCCUGAGUGAGGACCACAGGUGACCAUGGGUAACUUGAAACCACGGACUGAGAACUACAGAGGAGCAUCCAUUCCCACUGCAAGGCUGUAACCGGACGUUAACAUGCUCAGUGGAGCUGCAGACUGAUAUGUUCACCAGCAACGAGGCCGACACAGCCAGCAUCACUGAC
ensembl:lncRNA